CGCGGGGUGGAGGAACGGCACCUCGUCGGGCUCAUAAUCCGAAGGUCCCGGUUCGAAUCCGGGCCCCGCAA
rnacentral:tRNA from 1 species